rnacentral:rRNA from 1 species
CGACCGGCGCACGGGUGAGUAACACGUAUCCAACCUACCCUUUACUCGGGGAUAGCCUUUCGAAAGAAAGAUUAAUACCCGAUAGCAUAAUGAUUCCGCAUGGUUUCAUUAUUAAGGAUUCCGGUAAAGGAUGGGGAUGCGUUCCAUUAGGUUGUUGGUGGGGUAACGGCCCACCAAGCCUUCGAUGGAUAGGGGUUCUGAGAGGAAGGUCCCCCACAUUGGAACUGAGACACGGUCCAAACUCCUACGGGAGGCAGCAUG